ensembl:misc_RNA
UGGGACCAAAUCAAAGGCACAGAGAACUCCUCAUAGCAUCUUCUUUGGAAUUACUCAGGAACCAGAACUUUUUACACAAAUGUGAGAAAUUCUACCAAGGAGUCCCCUUACCUAACAGCAUCUCACAAGGCUGCAUCAGAUUCCAGAAAAAGCUUCUCUUGAUACAUCAAGGUAGAACCUC